CAAAAAAUGCUGCCGGCUUUGCUACCGCAGAUCCCUGGAGAGCGACAACGAGGAGAAGCCCUUCGGCAGCAGCCAGCCCUCGCUCAACGGGGCGCUGCCGGCGCUGGGCAGCGAGGACAGCCUGGCUGACUACGGGGGCAGCGUGGACGUGCAGUUCAACGAGGACGGGUCCUUCAUCGGCCAGUACAGCGGCCACACGGGCAAGGAGCCGGCCGGCAACAACAGCUCGGGGGCCACCAGCCCCACCACCGCCACGGCCACCCUGGAGUAGGGGGGACGCACCCUCCCCACGCCGGCCGAGCCCCCUGGGGAAUAGGGGAGCCCCUGCCUGCCCCAUGGGAAUGGGGGGCUGGGGCUGCCCCCCCAGCUGGGAAAUAGGGGACCCCCCUCCUGCCCCAGGGGCCAUGGGGGUUCAUGCACCCCCACCUCCUCCUGAUCCCUGAAUCCCAGGGGGGUCCCUGUUAGCUUCCCCCCUCCUGACCCCAGAACAGGAGGGGGGUAAUUUAAGGGAACCCCCCCUUAGCCCCCCCAGAAUGUCACCCCCUCCUCCAGGGAAGCUGGGAUUUUCUCUCCACCCCCCCCCCCCGAAGCAUCAUUUAACUUCUGCAUGUGAUGGGCCAAAAAGCUUGGGGGAGGCGAGGGGUUAAGGGGGGGGCUGGGGGCUCUGUACCCAGGGUUAAUAUUUGCCAAAAAAUAGACCCCCCCCCCCCCAAGUCUCUCCAUGUUUUAAUCAUUCUGGGCUCAGGCUCUGCCCCACCCCUGGGCGUGAGACUGAGCAGCCGGGGGGGGGGGCUGGGAGCCCGGACUCCUGGGUUCCAUCCCGGGCCCUUUCCCGGCGUUUACACCAGGUGGCUUCCUUUCAGCUGGGGGGGGUGAACAUUUCCCCCUAAUUCUGACCCUCCCCCUGCCCCGGGGGUGGGGCUGUUCAAACCUCACCUGCCCCUCCCUCGCCAACCCUGGGAGCCCCCACCUUCCAGAAGGUCUCCCCCUCCCCCCUCCACAAAUCCACCUCUGCCACCCACCCCCUGGACUCUGUGGGGGGGGAGGUGUCACCAUUUCACCCCCCCCAAAAGGGAACUGCCCCCCCCCCGCUUUUCUCACACAGCUGCCUUUGCAACACAUUUCUCAAGCCAAGUGGCCUCUUGUUCGCUCUGUGCUCCCCCGGACCUCCCCUCCCCCGUCGGGGUCUCAGCUUCGCUCUGUGCCCCCCCCCGGACCCCACAACCUUUUUUGCAUAAAACAGAAUUUAAAACCCAUUUAAAAAUGCCCCUGCCCCGGCUGGGUGGAGGCCUGGCCGGGGCCGCCCCGUGUAGAUAGGUGCCCCCCCGCUCGCUGGGCCGUCGUGUUAGCCGUGGCCUGGCCCUGCUCUGUGCUGUCGGGUAGUCGUGGCUUCGCGUUCCCUAGGAGGCAAGAAAAGGAAAAAAACUUUUU